GCUGUCGGAGCUGGAGACGAGGCCCGGCUCCCGUAGGAGUCCGGGCGAAGUUUUUCUUGCAGUCGGAGUCGGGGACGUGUCCGGGAGGGUCAAUCCUGCUGAGAACUUCGGCUGAGGGUAUUUUAUACCCAACACCAGUCCCCCUACUUCCGAGUUUGAAUUUCGAAUGAAGGAAGUACAGUGAGGUUGGCACAACCGAAGUUAUCCCCUCGAACCCUGGGUA
rnacentral:lncRNA from 1 species